GCUUCUGGAUCGGCCUCACGGACCGGAAUUCCGAGGGGGAUUGGGAAUGGAUCGACGGCACCGACUACAAAUCCACCUUCACGUUCUGGAAGGAGGGGGAGCCCAACAACAGCGGGAAUAACGAGGAUUGUGCCCACGUCUGGAUCGCGGGGAAGUGGAACGACGUUUACUGCACCUACGAGUGUUACUUCGUGUGCGAGAAGCCGCUGCCCCGCUGAGGGAUCCGCCUCUUCCCCCCCCCUAAUUUAUGGAAUCCCGGCCCGCGGCUCCCGCUUUUCCCGGGAUUCGGGACGCGGUCGGGUGUCCCCGCGCCAUAAAAGCGGGAAUUCGGGGGCUCCCCGCGGAGCUCCGGCGAAUAAAAGGGGGUUUUGUCCUUUU